rnacentral:rRNA from 1 species
GAGUCACACGUGGGUAACCUGCCCUUAAGUGGGGGAUAACAUUUGGAAACAGAUGCUAAUACCGCAUAGAUCCAAGAACCGCAKGGUUCUUGGCUGAAAGAUGGCGUAAGCUAUCGCUUUUGGAUGGACCCGCGGCGUAUUAGCUAGUUGGUGAGGUAAUGGCUCACCAAGGCGAUGAUACGUAGCCGAACUGAGAGGUUGAUCGGCCACAUUGGGACUGAGACACGGCCCAAACUCCUACGGGAGGCAGCAGUAGGGAAUCUUCCACAAUGGACGCAAGUCUGAUGGAGCAACGCCGCGUGAGUGAAGAAGGCUUUCGGGUCGUAAAACUCUGUUGUUGGAGAAGAAUGGUCGGCAGAGUAACUGUUGYCGGCGUGACGGUAUCCAACCAGAAAGCCACGGCUAACUACGUGCCAGCAGCCGCGGUAAUACGUAGGUGGCAAGCGUUAUCCGGAUUUAUUGGGCGUAAAGCGAGCGCAGGCGGUUUUUUAAGUCUGAUGUGAAAGCCCUCGGCUUAACCGAGGAAGCGCAUCGGAAACUGGGAAACUUGAGUGCAGAAGAGGACAGUGGAACUCCAUGUGUAGCGGUGAAAUGCGUAGAUAUAUGGAAGAACACCAGUGGCGAAGGCGGCUGUCUGGUCUGUAACUGACGCUGAGGCUCGAAAGCAUGGGUAGCGAACAGGAUUAGAUACCCUGGUAGUCCAUGCCGUAAACGAUGAAUGCUAGGUGUUGGAGGGUUUCCGCCCUUCAGUGCCGCAGCUAACGCAUUAAGCAUUCCGCCUGGGGAGUACGACCGCAAGGUUGAAACUCAAAGGAAUUGACGGGGGCCCGCACAAGCGGUGGAGCAUGUGGUUUAAUUCGAAGCAACGCGAAGAACCUUACCAGGUCUUGACAUCUUUUGAUCACCUGAGAGAUCAGGUUUCCCCUUCGGGGGCAAAAUGACAGGUGGUGCAUGGUUGUCGUCAGCUCGUGUCGUGARAUGUUGGGUUAAGUCCCGCAACGAGCGCAACCCUUAUGACUAGUUGCCAGCA